CCUAGGAAGAAGAGUUGAGAAAAAGUGGAGAGGCAAAAUAUUUCCACCUAAAUGAUGACCUGCAUGUUCUAAUUGAAGUAUUUGCCCCACCAGCAGAGGCAUAUGCCAGAAUGGGACAUGCUUUGGAAGAAAUCAAGAAGUUUCUCAUCCCUGACUACAAUGAUGAAAUCAGACAGGCACAGCUGCAAGAGUUAACGUACUUAAAUGGCGGCUCAGAAAAUGCAGAAGUUCCAGUUGUUCGUGGAAAACCACCAAUACGAGCGCGAGGAGUACCCGCCCCUGCCUUGGCCAGGGGUCGUGGAGGUGUACCACCCCCACCAGCAGGAGUACCACGAGGGGCACCUGCCCCUAGGGGGGUACCUCCAAGUAGGGGCCCGGUCAGUCGUGGUCGUGGACUUCUAGCCCCCAGAGCAAGAGGAGUUCCUCCGCCUGCAGGUUACCGGCCUCUUCCACCACCGCCAGCACAGGAAACAUAUGGAGAAUACGUUUCCACAGCCUGCUCUCCUUCCCCUCGUAUGAGUCCUAUGCCACCUGGAUUCUGCAUUGACAGAGGAACUGAGAGAAGGUUCGGUCUGCUCCAUUCUUUAUGCCCUCAGGUGGAUGGUGUAAAUUCACGUAGGGCACAGGAGUAUGAUGAUGGAUAUGGCACUGCUUAUGAUGAGCAAAGUUAUGAUUCCUAUGAUAACAGCUAUAGCACCCAAGCACAAAGCGGAGCUGACUACUAUGACUAUGGGCACGGACUUAGUGAGGAGACGUACGAUUCUUACGGGCAAGAAGAAUGGACCAACUCAAGACACAAGACACCUUCGGCAAGGACAGCAAAGGGAGUCUACAGAGACCAGCCAUAUGCCAGAUACUGAUUGUACUGUCUGAUGUUGUGAAAUACCCAAUCUCCACCAGUCCUGUAUACUGUUCAAAGAAACACUAUACAUCUUGAGGAGCAAGGAGAACAAAAGCCCAUAUCUGUUGACACUGUGGGACUUCUGUCAUGUCAGUCAUGGAUGACUUGGAAUAUUGUACUCACCAGUGUGCCUGGGCAACAAUGAAAUUGGCUUCGGAGUUUGAAAUCCAGCUCUGUUUCUCGUAUACUAUUUUGUGUACUGUACUAGUAAAGUGUACAACAUAUAAAUGCUUUAUUUUUUAACAAUUGUUGAGACCGUUUUUAAUUGUUUAAUUACUUAAUAAUGAACAACGUUUUUUAUGUAGAAGUUAAUAAAGAUUUUCCAUUUUAAAACGCUGGUAUAAAGCAAUAAUGCAUUCUUACGUUCCUCCAGUGACUCUUUGCUGUCUACGCAGCAAAUAAGAGUGCCCUGCCUUGAAGUCUUUUAUCACUGGUCCCACAGUAGACUUUUGGAGAUGCUUUAUCUACUCUGUAGCACAGACAAGUAAACACAACAACAAGGGAGUUGCACAGAAGCUCGUGCUACACUUUUUACACUACUGCCCAGUCUGGGUGUACACAACUCUUCCCAAGCAAGACUGAUUAGCAAAUACAGCGUAAGCCCAGUUUCAGUUGUCUUUGAUUACUUUCUUAUGAAGACCACAGUCAAUGUGGGCUGUUAUAGUGCUCCUUCUUUCAUUCACUCUGGUGCAUUGUGAUCAUAACGUUAAAGCUUGAGGAAUAUAUUCUCCACUAUUAUAAGGUCAGACAUGUUUUACAGUGGUGGGAUUUCACACAAGACUUUUGUUUUGAGAAAUCUGCGCUCUUGUACCUACCAGACGUGUUUCCUCUGCUUCAUAUUAAUUGUGUUUGUGACCAUUUGUAACGCGAAUAAACUUAUGAUAGUUUUAACCUUUACAUAUCUUUUCAUAAUGCUGACUGUGAGUUCAACUGACUGCAUCCCAUAUGCCAGACAUGUUUCAACUCGAUAUUGCUUUUUUUUUAGUUACUGAAACUCGACAAAUUUAGAUGCUGCAUAUGCAGAUUAAUCUAUUGCGGUAUUCAGAACCCCCUUCUCUAUAGAAAGUAUAAAUAUCUUUUUUCAUACCUUUUUUUUAAAGUAGGGUUAUUAUACCACACUUACUUGUUUCCCUCCAAAUGUUCUUCUCCUUCAAUGCAUAUUCAGCUUUCCUGUUAAGGAUUUAAUAGCUACUGAAUGACUUUUCACUUUUUUAUGCAUAGAUACAGAGAAUUUAUUUCGGAUCUUACAAUUUUCAUCACUGUGCUUUCUCAAAAAUCUCUAAGCUAGUUUUUUUCUUCAGUGAAUUUAUCUUCUCUGUCCACAGUUUUAGAGCAUGUUUCUUUCCCAUUGAUUGAUUAAGUCAUAUUUAAAGAUUCAUUUAUUCUCAAGUUACAUGUCUGAAAAGUUUCCCAUGCUUUACUAUGCCAAAACUGCAUUUCUAUAGCUCCUUCUAAAGGACCUAAAAGUGCUUUUAAAAAUAUACAUGCUUCCCACAGUCUAAAAUAGGUAAGCGAUGUGGUAAUGUAAUUAUGCAACUGUCUAACAUUUGAAAUGCUAUCUCUGUAUAUGAGCCUGGAAAUUAAUCGCUGAUGCUGCAGAGGAAAUUUAGAUAUGCACAGUCCGAGUUCACUGGCAGUAGUUUGGUCAGAACACUACAGAAUUAACGACUCCAUCUCUUAAAAGCGCCGUCAAUUUUUUCAUGUAUUCAAAUAUCAAGGUUUUGGUUCUGAAACUUAUCCAAUAAAACUUCACCGCU